UACAGAGGUCUCAAGCGUUGUUCGGAUUCAUUGGGCGUAAAGGGUGCGUAGGCGGCGCGGUAAGUCGGGUGUGAAAUCUUGGAGCUUAACUCCGAAACUGCAUUCGAUACUGUCGGGCUCGAGUCCGGAAGAGGCGAGUGGAAUUCCUGGUGUAGCGGUGAAAUGCGCAGAUAUCAGGAGGAACACCAAUGGCGAAGGCAGCUCGCUGGGACGUGACUGACGCUGAGACGCGAAAGCGUGGGGAGCAAACAGG
rnacentral:rRNA from 1 species